ACUGAUAAGCCACGUACAUUUCAUACUUAUUCAAGGAGGAAGAAGCAAAGAAACAUACAAGUCCUGGAGGAUUGAGCAGUUACUGAAAGCAGUUUCUUACAGUUACUAGAAGUUAUAUGUUCCUAUCAUAAAUGUAGUUAAGUACUUAUGUGUCAUCCUAUUAUAUAAAUAAUGCAUCUUAGUAAUGUAGGAUUGUAUUGUAAUCAUCUAUUGUAUGCAGACAGAUUGUUCUAAGAGAUAUGAGAUGCUUGUGUCUCUCUAUUAUUAAAAUAUCAGUAUAACUUCUAUUUAUUUACCA